rnacentral:rRNA from 1 species
AUUGAACGCUAGCGGGAUGCUUUACACAUGCAAGUCGAACGAGCGGCGGACGGGUGAGUAAUGUAUGGGGAUCUGCCCGAUAGAGGGGGCUAACUACUGGAAACGGUGGCUAAUACCGCAUACUAUCGGAUGAACCCAUAGGGGAUUAGCUAGUAGGUGGGGUAAAGGCUCACCUAGGCGACGAUCUCUAGCUGGGCUGAGAGGAUGAUCAGCCACACUGGGACUGAGACACGGCCCAGACUCCUACGGGAGGCAGCAGUGGGGAAUAUUGCACAAUGGGCGCAAGCCUGAUGCAGCCAUGCCGCGUGUAUGAAGAAGGCCUUAGGGUUGUAAAGUACUUUCAGCGGGGAGGCGUUACCCGCAGAAGAAGCACCGGCUAACUCCGUGCCAGAAGCCGCGGUAAUUC